rnacentral:rRNA from 1 species
UAGUAACGGCGAGUGAAGCGGCAACAGCUCAAAUUUGAAAUCUGGCCUCGGCCCGAGUUGUAAUUUGCAGAGGAAGCUUUAGGCGCGGCACCUUCUGAGUCCCCUGGAACGGGGCGCCAUAGAGGGUGAGAGCCCCGUAUAGUUGGAUGCCUAGCCUGUGUAAAGCUCCUUCGACGAGUCGAGUAGUUUGGGAAUGCUGCUCAAAAUGGGAGGUAAAUUUCUUCUAAAGCUAAAUACCGGCCAGAGACCGAUAGCGCACAAGUAGAGUGAUCGAAAGAUGAAAAGCACUUUGAAAAGAGGGUUAAAUAGCACGUGAAAUUGUUGAAAGGGAAGCGCUUGUGACCAGACUUGCGCCGGGCUGAUCAUCCGGUGUUCUCACCGGUGCACUCUGCCCGGCUCAGGCCAGCAUCGGCUCUCGCGGGGGGAUAAAGGCCCCGGGAACGUAGCUCCUCCGGGAGUGUUAUAGCCCGGGGCGUAAUGCCCUCGCGGGGGCCGAGGUUCGCGCAUCU